UAGCUAGGACUUUCAAGUUCGUAAAAUAUUGAGUGGAUUUCGUUGGAAACGAUCCGUUUUUGCAUUAAACCGCAGACGUACGUGUUCGUAGGCAGAAAGACCAGCGGAAACUCGGAUGGGCAAGAACGGAAGUCACUUUGCGGGAUGAGCCGGUUUCUUGAAAUAAUAAUAAAAAAAAAAAAGAAGAGAAAGAAAAAAGCGGAGAUGGAAAAGGGGGAAAGGAUAGAAGGGAAGAAAAAAAGGAGCAGAGCAAGAGGGAGGAAAAAUGAGAAGUUAGUCAGCGAGUUUCAGUCGUCACAGGUCUAUCAGAGCUGGUUCGAGAAACUUAGCCGAUGAACUUCGCCAAGGAAUUCCGGGCGUUUUAAUCGAAGAAGCACAUCGUUACCGGCUGCGUCUAAAGGGAUUACCGCUUUGAAAAGUGUCUUCAUUACCUUUGCAGCCGAUAGUUCACAAGAGAACUGAACGUCUGAUUUACCCGAUAUUUGCCAGCCUUUUUUCCCUUCCCCCAGUUGUACAGAUAAUGGCGCUCUCUAACAAAUUUCGGUCUUUCAUUCGAGGAAAGAAUAAAAAGGAAGAUUCCGUACACGAACG
rnacentral:misc_RNA from 1 species